rnacentral:misc_RNA from 4 species
AACGCACAUUGCGCCCGCCAGUAUUCUGGCGGGCAUGCCUGUCUGAGCGUCAUUUCAACCCUCAUGCCCCAGCGGUGUGGUGUUGGGGAUCGGCCUGAGCUAACGCCCGGGCCGUCCCCUAAAUCUAGUGGCGGACUCGCUGUAGCCUCCUCUGCGUAGUAGUGAUAUUUCGCACCGGAGAGCGGCGAGCCCCUGCCGUAAAACCCCAACUUCUAAGGUUGACCUCAGAUCAGGUAGGAAUACCCGCUGAACUUAA